GAAGAGGGAGGAAAGACAUUAAGCAAAAGGAGCUUUUGAUUCACCAAGGUUAUAGGGAAAGAAGGUCAUGAAUAAAAUAAAACCUGGAUUAAAACUGGUCAAAUAUUAGGCAAGUAAAUUUAGUGAAAACAGCAAUAACAUUUACUCUAAUGCUGUCAUUUUCCCUAAAGAGCUACACAAAUUGUUCAAGCUUACAUGCUUGCUGUUUUCAGAGUGCAUUUCUGACCAACCCAUUAUUAUGCUUACAAAACUACAGAAGUAUGCAUUCAUAACAGAACAAGAAAUCAUGUCAGUUUACAAAAUCAAAGACACAUUUCUGAAACAAAAACUUGUUGUUA
rnacentral:lncRNA from 1 species